GCGGUGAUCAGCAAUUAAGUCAUGCGCCGUUCUGGGUUGUGUGGUGCCUCAGUGAUUUGGUUUGCAUACAGCCUGGAAGUGGAACUAGCCAGGUUUUAAUUCAAAUCAUAAUUGAAGGGGAAAAGAAAAAGAAAACAAAAAGAAAAAGAAUGUGUUGUAUUAACGAAGUUCUGUUUGGGUUUCUGGCAAGGUCUCUUGUGUCAGACCCAUCCCUGCUGCUGGCCUGCACGCCUCGGGAAGGAGCGCUAAGGGCACACACAAAGACGGAAAGCCACGCCAACAAAAUCCUUCCCACCUAAUGCCGCUGCCCUGAUUAAUGUCUUCUGCCUCCAAAGAG